rnacentral:rRNA from 1 species
UACGGAGGAUGCAAGCGUUAUCCGGAUUUAUUGGGCGUAAAGCGUCCGUAGGUGGUUAAUCAAGUCUAUCGUCAAAGCCUGGGGCUUAACCCUGGAGAGGCGGUGGAAACUGGUUGACUUGAGUGCGGUAGGGGCAGAGGGAAUUCCCAGUGUAGCGGUGAAAUGCGUAGAUAUUGGGAAGAACACCGGUGGCGAAAGCGCUCUGCUGGGCCUGCACUGACACUGAGGGACGAAAGCUAGGGGAGCGAAAGGG